GACGAACGCUGGCGGCGUGCUUAACACAUGCCAGUCGAACGGAAAGGCCCUGCUUUUGUGGGGUGCUCGAGUGGCGAACGGGUGAGUAACACGUGAGUAACCUGCCCUUGACUUUGGGAUAACUUCAGGAAACUGGGGCUAAUACCGGAUAGGAGCUCCUGCUGCAUGGUGGGGGUUGGAAAGUUUCGGCGGUUGGGGAUGGACUCGCGGCUUAUCAGCUUGUUGGUGGGGUAGUGGCUUACCAAGGCUUUGACGGGUAGCCGGCCUGAGAGGGUGACCGGCCACAUUAGGACUGAGAGACGGCCCAGACUCCUACGGGAGGCAGCAGGGGGGAAUAUUGCACAAUGGGCGGAAGCCUGAUGCAGCAACGCCGCGUGCGGGAUGACGGCCUUCGGGUUGUAAACCGCUUUCGCCUGUGACGAAGCGUGAGUGACGGUAAUGGGUAAAGAAGCACCGGCUAACUACGUG
rnacentral:rRNA from 1 species